rnacentral:rRNA from 1 species
UACGUAGGCAGCAAGCGUUGUUCGGAAUUACUGGGCGUAAAGAGCGUGUAGGCGGCUUUACAGGUCCGUUGUGAAAACUCGAGGCUCAACCUCGAGACGUCGGUGGAAACCGCAUGGCUAGAGUCCGGAAGAGGAGAGUGGAAUUCCUGGUGUAGCGGUGAAAUGCGCAGAUAUCAGGAAGAACACCCGUGGCGAAGGCGGCUCUCUGGGACGGUACUGACGCUGAGACGCGAAAGCGUGGGGAGCGAACAGG